rnacentral:rRNA from 1 species
UACGAGGGGGGCAAGCGUUGUUCGGAUUUAUUGGGUUUAAAGGGUGCGUAGGCGGCCUGUUAAGUCAGGGGUGAAAGACGGUAGCUUAACUAUCGCAGUGCCCUUGAUACUGAUGGGCUUGAAUAUACUUGAGGUAGGCGGAAUGUGACAAGUAGCGGUGAAAUGCAUAGAUAUGUCACAGAACACCAAUUGCGAAGGCAGCUUACUAAGGUAUGAUUGACGCUGAGGCACGAAAGCGUGGGGAUCAAACAGG